GGAGGUGUGGCUGAGUGGCUUAAAGCUUUGGUUUGCUAAAUCAACCUACAUUUAAGGUGUAGCGUAGGUUCGAAUCCUACCACCUCCGA
rnacentral:tRNA from 1 species